rnacentral:rRNA from 1 species
GCGGAUGAGUUAUGCUACCUCCAGUUUGUGCCUGUCUCGCUGAUGAGUGGAGCUUGCUCCAUGAUUCAGCGGCCGACGGKUGAGUAAUGCCUAGGAAUCUGCCUGGUAGUGGGGGACAACGUUUCGAAAGGAACGCUAAUACCGCAUACGUCCUACGGGAGAAAGCAGGGGACCUUCGGGCCUUGCGCUAUCAGAUGAGCCUAGGUCGGAUUAGCUAGUUGGUGGGGUAAAGGCCUACCAAGGCGACGAUCCGUAACUGGUCUGAGAGGAUGAUCAGUCACACUGGAACUGAGACACGGUCCAGACUCCUACGGGAGGCAGCAGUGGGGAAUAUUGGACAAUGGGCGAAAGCCUGAUCCAGCCAUGCCGCGUGUGUGAAGAAGGUCUUCGGAUUGUAAAGCACUUUAAGUUGGGAGGAAGGGCAGUAAGUUAAUACCUUGCUGUUUUGACGUUACCAACAGAAUAAGCACCGGCUAACUUCGUGCCAGCAGCCGCGGUAAUACGAAGGGUGCAAGCGUUAAUCGGAAUUACUGGGCGUAAAGCGCGCGUAGGUGGUUUGGUAAGAUGGAUGUGAAAUCCCCGGGCUCAACCUGGGAACUGCAUCCAUAACUGCCUGACUAGAGUACGGUAGAGGGUGGUGGAAUUUCCUGUGUAGCGGUGAAAUGCGUAGAUAUAGGAAGGAACACCAGUGGCGAAGGCGACCACCUGGACUGAUACUGACACUGAGGUGCGAAAGCGUGGGGAGCAAACAGGAUUAGAUACCCUGGUAGUCCACGCCGUAAACGAUGUCGACUAGCCGUUGGGAUCCUUGAGAUCUUAGUGGCGCAGCUAACGCGAUAAGUCGACCGCCUGGGGAGUACGGCCGCAAGGUUAAAACUCAAAUGAAUUGACGGGGGCCCGCACAAGCGGUGGAGCAUGUGGUUUAAUCCGAAGCAACGCGAAGAACCUUACCUGGUCUUGACAUGUCCGGAACCUUGCAGAGAUGCGAGGGUGCCUUCGGGAAUCGGAACACAGGUGCUGCAUGGCUGUCGUCAGCUCGUGUCCGUGAGAUGUGGGUUAAGUUCCCGUAACGAGCGCAAACUCCUCGUCCUUAGUUACCAGCACGUUAUGGUGGGGCACUUCUAAGGAAUACUGCCCGGUGAACAAACCGAAGGAAGGUGGGGAUGACGGUCAGUCAUCAUGGCCUCUUUACGCCCAGCCUAUCACACGUGCUCAAAUGGCUGGUUACAAGGUUGGCAAGUCGCGAGGGGUGGAGUUCUAAUCUCAUAUAAAAUCGAAUGCUGAUAUYCCUGACGAUACUGCUGAAGCACUG